GAUGAACGCUGGCGGCGUGCCUAAUACAUGCAAGUCGAGCGAACGGACGAGAAGCUUGCUUCUCUGAUGUUAGCGGCGGACGGGUGAGUAACACGUGGAUAACCUACCUAUAAGACUGGGAUAACUUCGGGAAACCGGAGCUAAUACCGGAUGAUAUUUUGUACCGCAUGGUUCAAAAGUGAAAGACGGUCUUGCUGUCACUUAUAGAUGGAUCCGCGCUGCAUUAGCUAGUUGGUAAGGUAACGGCUUACCAAGGCAACGAUGCAUAGCCGACCUGAGAGGGUGAUCGGCCACACUGGAACUGAGACACGGUCCAGACUCCUACGGGAGGCAGCAGUAGGGAAUCUUCCGCAAUGGGCGAAAGCCUGACGGAGCAACGCCGCGUGAGUGAUGAAGGUCUUCGGAUCGUAAAACUCUGUUAUUAGGGAAGAACAUAUGUGUAAGUAACUGUGCACAUCUUGACGGUACCUAAUCAGAAAGCCACGGCUAACUACGUG
rnacentral:rRNA from 1 species